rnacentral:rRNA from 1 species
CAUGUGGGGUAAGCGUUGUUCGGAAUUACUGGGCAUAAAGGGCGCGUAGGUGGUUUGUUAAGUCAGGGGUGAAAUCCCGCGGCCCAAUCGUGGAACUGCCUUUGAUACUGGCGAACUUGAGUGCGUGAGGGGUAGGGGGAACGAGCAGUGUAGCGGUGAAAUGCGUAGAUAUUGCUCGGAAGGUUAGAGCCGAAGGGGCUUUACUGGUGCGCAACUGACACUGAGGCACGAAAGCGUGGGGAGCAAACAGGAUUAGAUAUCCCGGUAGUCCACGCCGUAAACUAUGAGCAUUAGAUGGAUGCCGAGCUAUCGGUGUCUGUCGGAGGCAAUUUGGUAAGUGCUCCGCCUGGGGAGUAUGGUCGCAAGGCUG